rnacentral:tRNA from 1 species
CAUUAAAUGACUGAAAGCAAGUAAUGGUCUCUUAAACCACUCAAUAGUAAAUUAGCAAUUACUUUUAAUGG